AUGCGUAGGGGGCGAGCGUUGUCCGGAAUGAUUGGGCGUAAAGGGCGCGUAGGCGGCCCGGUAAGUCUGGAGUGAAAGUCCUGUUUUUAAGAUGGGAAUUGCUUUGGAUACUGUCGGGCUUGAGUGUAGGAGAGGUAAGUGGAACUCCCAGUGUAGCGGUGAAAUGCGUAGAGAUUGGGAGGAACACCAGUGGCGAAGGCGACUUACUGGACUGUAACUGACGCUGAGGCGCGAAAGUGUGGGGAGCAAACAGGAUUAGAUACCCUGGUAGUCCACACUGUAAACGAUGAAUGCUAGGUGUAGGGGGUAUCGACCCCUUCUGUGCCGCAGUCAACACAAUAAGCAUUCCGCCUGGGGAGUACGGCCGCAAGGUUGAAACUUAAAGGAAUUGGCGGGG
rnacentral:rRNA from 1 species